UACGUAGGGUGCAAGCGUUGUCCGGAAUUAUUGGGCGUAAAGAGCUCGUAGGCGGUUUGUCGCGUCUGCUGUGAAAACUCGGGGCUUAACCCCGGGCCUGCAGUGGGUACGGGCAGACUAGAGUGCGGUAGGGGGAGACUGGAAUUCCUGGUGUAGCGGUGAAAAUGCGCAGAUAUCAGGAGGAACACCGGUGGCGAAGGCGGGUCUCUGGGCCGUAACUGACGCUGAGGAGCGAAAAGCGUGGGGGAGCGAAACAGG
rnacentral:rRNA from 1 species